UUUAGGAGAAAGGCAAAUGCAAAGCAUUUUUUAAAUGCCUUUCGACGAUUUGCCGCCGAACCGAAGGUGAGGGGGCGUUACAUUAA
rnacentral:sRNA from 1 species